AAUUCUGCCAAUUAGUCCAUCUUUUAGAUAAGUAUUGGUUGUGUGGGGUCUAUCCGCCUGGUGAUACGUAAUGUCCUUUAUUGGAUGUUGCAGAUAGUCAGGACCUUUACCUUGAAAAAAUUAGAGUGUUUAAAGCAGGCUUAUGCCAGAAUACAUUAGCAUGGUAUAAUAGAAUAGGAUGAAGUUGUUUUAUUUUGUUGGUUUCUAGGACAACUGUA
rnacentral:rRNA from 1 species